CGUUUUGCUGAAGUUUGUACGCCACUUGAGCCCGCCGUUUCCCUCGCUAAUGAUACCAGCGGAGCCUCUCUGGGGAAUGGCGUCCGUCGUGCGCCUGGCUUUCACAUUUCCAGCACCAGAGUGAAAGUAGCAGUUCCUCCUUAAGGUCAGAGAUUGCAGCAUCUGAGGGCCUCUUCUAAAGAAGACGUAGUUGAUGAAAGCGUUCUGGAGCAGGACCAGAAAGACCAUGACCAAGCAGCCUUGAGAUCUUAGGCAGUGUCUCCCUCAGCCACCAACCACUGGAACACAUCUCCAAAGUUCUGCUGAAGCUCAGCUUCCCCUCAGAAGAAGUGCCACCAGAUGAAGGAGCCUUUUGAGAGGCAGCUGGAAUCGUGAUUGGACGGUACUUUGGUCUGUUCCAGUCCAGUUUCAGCUCCAGAGACGGCAGGCGGGACGAGUCAACGGAGGCCGGGUGGACGAAGGCAUAAAGCUGAGUACAAUCCAGAAAACAACAGAGGAGGAGUGGGUCGGCCCAGGGCCAGAAAAAACAGAGUAGCAUGACCAAAGAACUACAGACUCUUCACAACCUGCUCAAACUCCUCUUGGUACAGGACCUCACCACAUGGGUCAAGAAGGUUUCCUUCUCAUUUCUACUCUGAAGCUCACCUUCUCCUGCUCAAACUGCCGACAAAUGUUUCUGCUGCUCCAAAGUCCGGUCUCCAGAACUUCCUAAAAACUCUCAAAGUCUCUUCUGCUGCAGGUUGCUUUGUAGAACAGUUACAGAAAACCUCACUAAACCACAUGGAGGGGCCUCAAGAUAGUCGUCCAAAUGAAACCAUACAAUAACCAAACUAGCACAACCCAAACUCUAAAGUCUCCUGCAGCCUACCAGAGAAGCUCUUUAAACAGAGAAUCAGGACAGGAACUCUUACCUUCUGGACAACCAACGUUGGUUCACAAACAAGAAUACAGAAUGUGUCUGACCAAAAACCUCUAAAUAUAUAUUAUGGCGUUUUUUUGGACAAAAUAUCAUGAUGAUUUUUUUUCACAUAAAACUGCUCUAUAAUGUUUUUCAUGGCCUACUUUACAUUAUUUCAUCAUAUGGCAUGUUUUUACGACAUGUUGAAAAAAAUGGCAUUUUUUUCGACAUAGUAUACUAUGGCGUUUUUUUUGGACAAAAUAUCAUGAUGAUUUUUUUUCAAAUAAAAUUGCUCUAUAGUGUUUUUCACGGCCUAUUUUACAUUAUUUCAUCAUAUGGCAUGUCUUUAUGACAUGUUGAAAAAAAAUGGCAUUUUUUUUCGACAUAGUACUAUGGCGUCUUUUUUUGGACAAAAUAUCAUGAUGAUUCUUUUUUCAAAUAAAACUGCUCUAUAGUGUUUUUCAUGGCCAACUUUACAUUAUUUCAUCAUAUGGCAUGUUUUUACGACAUGUUGAAUAAAUCACAUUUUUUUUCGACUAUGGCGUUUUUUUGGACAAAAUGUCAUGAUGAUUUUUUUCAAAUAAAACUGCUCUAUAGUGUUUUUCAUGGCCAACUUUACAUUAUUUCAUCAUAUGGCAUGUCUUUAUGACAUGUUGAAAAAAAUGUCAUUUUUUUUCGACAUAGUAUACUAUGGCAUUUUUUUGAACAAACUAUCAUGAUGAUUUUUUUCAAAUAAAACUGCUCUAUAGUAUUUUUCAUGGCCUACUUUACAUUAUAUCGUCAUAUGGCAUGUUUUUACGACAUGUUGAAAAAAAUGGCAUUUUUUUCGACAUAGUACUAUGGCGUCUUUUUUUGGACAAAAUAUCAUGAUGAUUUUUUUAAAAUAAAACUCCUCUAUAGUGUUUUUCACGGCCUACUUUACAUUAUUUCAUCAUAUGGCAUGUUUUUACGACAUGUUGAAUAAAUCACAUUUUUUUUCGACUAUGGCGUUUUUUUGGACAAAAUGUCAUGAUGAUUUUUUUCAAAUAAAACUGCUCUAUAGUGUUUUUCAUGGCCAACUUUACAUUAUUUCAUCAUAUGGCAUGUCUUUAUGACAUGUUGAAAAAAAUGUCAUUUUUUUUCGACAUAGUAUACUAUGGCAUUUUUUUGAACAAACUAUCAUGAUGAUUUUUUUCAAAUAAAACUGCUCUAUAGUAUUUUUCAUGGCCUACUUUACAUUAUAUCGUCAUAUGGCAUGUUUUUACGACAUGUUGAAAAAAAUGGCAUUUUUUUCGACAUAGUACUAUGGCGUCUUUUUUUGGACAAAAUAUCAUGAUGAUUUUUUUAAAAUAAAACUCCUCUAUAGUGUUUUUCACGGCCUACUUUACAUUAUUUCAUCAUAUGGCAUGUUUUUACGACAUGUUGAAAAAAAUGGCAUUUUUUUUCAACUAUGGCGUUUUUUUGGACAAAAUAUUAUGAUGAUUUUUUUUCACAUAAAACUGCUCUAUAAUGUUUUUCAUGGCCUACUUUACAUUAUUUCAUCAUAUGGCAUGUUUUUACGACAUGUUGAAAAAAAAUGGCAUUUUUUUCGACAUAGUAUACUAUGGCGUUUUUUUUGGGACAAAAUGUCAUGAUGAUUUUUUUUUCAAAUAAAACUGCUCUAUAAUUUUUUUCACGGCCUACUUUACAUUAUUUCAUCAUAUGGCAUGUUUUCAUGACAUGUUGAAAAAAUGCCAUUUUUUUUCGACAUGGUAUACUAUGGCGUUUUUUUGGACAAAAUAUCAUGAUGAUUUUUUUUCAAAGAAAACUGCUCUAUAGUGUUUUUCAUGGCCUACUUUACAUUAUUUCAUCAUAUGGCAUGUUUUUACGACAUGUUGAAUAAAUGGCAUUUUUUUUUCGACUAUGGCGUUUUUUUGGACAAAAUAUUAUGAUGAUUUUUUUCAAAUAAAAUUGCUCUAUAGUGUUUUUCAUGGCCAACUUUACAUUAUUUCAUCAUAUGGCAUGUUUUUACGACAUGUUGAAUAAAUCACAUUUUUUUUCGACUAUGGCGUUUUUUUGGACAAAAUAUCAUGAUGAUUUUUUAAAAAUAAAACUGCUCUAUAGUGUUUUUCAUGGCCUACUUUACAUUAUUUCAUCAUAUGGCAUGUCUUUAUGACAUGUUGAAAAAAAUGUCAUUUUUUUCGACAUAGUAUACUAUGGCGUUUUUUUGGACAAAAUAUCAUGAUGAUUUUUUUUCAAAUAAAACUGCUCUAUAGUGUUUUUCACGGCCUAUUUUACAUUAUUUCAUCAUAUGGCAUGUCUUUAUGACAUGUUGGAAAAAAAUGGCAUUUUUUUCGACAUAGUACUAUGGCGUUUUUUUGGACAAAAUAUCAUGAUGAUUCUUUUUUCAAAUAAAACUGCUCUAUAGUGUUUUUCAUGGCCAACUUUACAUUAUUUCAUCAUAUGGCAUGUUUUUACGACAUGUUGAAAAAAUCACAUUUUUUUUCGACUAUGGCGUUUUUUUGGACAAAAUAUUAUGAUGAUUUUUUUCAAAUAAAACUGCUCUAUAGUGUUUUUCAUGGCCAACUUUACAUUAUUUCACCAUAUGGCAUGUUUUUACGACAUGUUGAAUAAAUCACAUUUUUUUCGACUAUGGCGUUUUUUUGGACAAAAUAUUAUGAUGAUUUUUUUCAAAUAAAACUGCUCUAUAGUGUUUUUCACGGCCAACUUUACAUUAUUUCAUCAUAUGGCAUGUUUUUACGACAUGUUGAAAAAAUCACAUUUUUUUUCGACUAUGGCGUUUUUUUGGACAAAAUAUUAUGAUGAUUUUUUUCAAAUAAAACUGCUCUAUAGUGUUUUUCACGGCCAACUUUACAUUAUUUCAUCAUAUGGCAUGUCUUUAUGACAUGUUGAAAAAAAUGUCAUUUUUUUUCGACAUAGUAUACUAUGGCGUUUUUUUGAACAAACUAUCAUGAUGAUUUUUUUCAAAUAAAACUGCUCUAUAGUAUUUUUCACGGCCUACUUUACAUUAUAUCGUCAUAUGGCAUGUUUUUACGACAUGCAAAGAAAACUGCUCUAUAGUGUUUUUUCACAAAACACCUGAACAUGUCAAACUGGUUCCACAGUAGAACCAUCAUUGUAAAAACAUCACAGUAUGAUGUCUUGCUAAAAAAAAACAUUACAACCAGCUGUUUAGGGUCACCUAGGUAACGACAAAAACAGGACAAAUGCUGCUUUCCAGGGGGUUAAGUGGCUAUUUAUUUGAAAGAGUAAGUUUACAACAACACAACAUGUGAGCAGAAAAAUCACAAAGUCUGUCUUCAGUUCAGCUAAAAAUAUUAGUUUUUGUAUUUUUUAUUGAUGAAACUUUUCAGGAAGUAGAUGAAAAAUAAUUAAAGCUCUCAUGUAGAAGUCCAACUUAUUUUGGAUCCUUUUGGAGAGUUUAAUCUUAGAAUUUGUAAAGCUGUUGAGUUUUUAGAGUCACAUGGAUUGUUUUGACAUUUAACAACCGAGUCCUGAAAUAAAAUUACAGUUGUGGA